UGCAGUCGAGCGGAUGAAGAGAGCUUGCUCUCUGAUUCAGCGGCGGACGGGUGAGUAAUGCCUAGGAAUCUGCCUGAUAGUGGGGGACAACGUUUCGAAAGGAACGCUAAUACCGCAUACGUCCUACGGGAGAAAGCAGGGGACCUUCGGGCCUUGCGCUAUCAGAUGAGCCUAGGUCGGAUUAGCUAGUUGGUGAGGUAACGGCUCACCAAGGCGACGAUCCGUAACUGGUCUGAGAGGAUGAUCAGUCACACUGGAACUGAGACACGGUCCAGACUCCUACGGGAGGCAGCAGUGGGGAAUAUUGGACAAUGGGCGAAAGCCUGAUCCAGCCAUGCCGCGUGUGUGAAGAAGGUCUUCGGAUUGUAAAGCACUUUAAGUUGGGAGGAAGGGCAUUAACCUAAUACGUUAGUGUUUUGACGUUACCGACAGAAUAAGCACCGGCUAACUUCGUGCCAGCAGCCGCGGUAAUACGAAGGGUGCAAGCGUUAAUCGGAAUUACUGGGCGUAAAGCGCGCGUAGGUGGUUUGUUAAGUUGAAUGUGAAAGCCCCGGGCUCAACCUGGGAACUGCAUCCAAAACUGGCAAGCUAGAGUAUGGCAGAGGGUGGUGGAAUUUCCUGUGUAGCGGUGAAAUGCGUAGAUAUAGGAAGGAACACCAGUGGCGAAGGCGACCACCUGGGCUAAUACUGACACUGAGGUGCGAAAGCGUGGGGAG
rnacentral:rRNA from 1 species